AUAUAGCUUAGGACGAACAGAUUCAAAACAUAAUCGCCUAACAAAAACCGUUAAUGUUUCUAUACAAAAUAAUAUGGUUAGCACAGCACUAUUGUACCUAAUCUACGCUGUCAGCUGACAGCCGACUGUCAGUGUCAAAUGUGUAUUUGAUACUACUGUUUGCAAUAUAUUUAAACCUUGGUUGUUUUCUGUAUUUAUUCCAUGUUCUAGACUGUAUUUAAAGAAAAACGGAAUCAACGCACCACCGCACAUUUUAAAAGAACCAAAUCAGUCCGAAAAAAAGUUUGAAUAAGAACAUGGAAAAGUACACUGUACCUAACAUUCCUACUACUCAACAAGUAUUAGAAGAUAUAUUUGAUAAUGAAAUCGUUCAGGUGAAGGACCAUCCCAUUAAAUUAGUGGAAGGAAAUGAAAGUUUACACAAUGCAUAUUGUAGUUAUAAAAAUUUUAAGCAGCUUCAGGAAGAUGUAAUGAAACAAGACGGAUUAAAUUCCAAGUUAGAUGAAUUAAAUCAAAAGUUAGUUGAGAAUAUAACUAGUUUGAAAAAACAAAUGUAAUUUUAAUUGUGUACAUAAUUUAACAAAAUUGUUAUUUUUGUUUUUAUUUUAUAAAUUAUGUGUGAAUGUUAAUGAUUUAAACAGACUACUUGGUUUUUUUAAUAAAAAAUAUAUUAUUAACUAGGGAUGUAAUGCAAAAAUCCAUGGGUAAUAAACAUUAUUUUAUUAUA